UACGAAGGGGGCUAGCGUUGCUCGGAAUUACUGGGCGUAAAGCGCACGUAGGCGGCUUUCUAAGUCGGGGGUGAAAUCCUGGAGCUCAACUCCAGAACUGCCUUCGAUACUGGAGAGCUUGAGUCCGGGAGGAGGUGAGUGGAACUGCGAGUGUAGAGGUGAAAUUCGUAGAAUUAUUCGCAAGAACACCAGUGGCGAAAGGCGGCCUCAGCUGGCC
rnacentral:rRNA from 1 species